GAUGAAGAACGUAGCGAAAUGCGAUAAGUAAUGUGAAUUGCAGAAUUCAGUGAAUCAUCGAAUCUUUGAACGCACCUUGCGCCCUUUGGCUAUUCCGAAGGGCAUGCCUGUUUGAGUAUCAUGAACACCUCAACUCUCAUGGCUUGCCAUGAAGAGCUUGGACUAUGGGGGUCUUGCUGGCCUGUGGUCGGCUCCUCUCAAAUGAAUCAGCUUGCCGGUGUUUGGUGGCGUCACAGGUGUGAUAACUAUCUACGCUUGUGGUGUUUUCCACCAGGUAACCUUCAGCAAUGGAGGUUCGCUGGGGCUCAUAAAAGUCUCUCCUCGGUGAGGACAGCUCUUUUUGAACGUUUGAUCUCAAAUCAGGUAGGACUACUCGCUGAACUUAAGCAUAUCAAUAAGCGGAGGA
rnacentral:misc_RNA from 1 species